CUUAUUAAGAUGCAGUUGCCCUGGACUCUUGAAUGUCCAAUUCAUGUUCUGCUACCAUAAUACAGGAAUCUGCUUCAAGAGAUGAAGCUGAGCUCUUAUUCUUCAACAAUGAAUCCUUGGGUGAAUUGAGCAUGUCUGUUGUGCACUGCACAUCAGGCAUUAUCCCAAUCUGAUCUAUGUCAUGAAGUGCAGGUGAUAGAUACUUUGCAACUGUGAUAAAUAGAGCUGAUCCAUCAUGCAACUCUGUUACACUCUGCAGGAAGAAAAAUAUAAGAAACCAUAAGAAGUAAUGCAUUUAUGAAUACCAAUUUUAGCUUUAUAAAAGAAUAUGCAUAAAGAAUGUCAUCACAGAGAAACUGGAAAGGUUGCUUCAGAAUUCCACCACAGACACAAAAGGUGAUCACUGGAAUGGUUUCUUCAGGAUGUUUCUCAACCAAGAAUAAGGUCCAUACAUUAUACCUUCUUUAUUUGCAUAUAUUUUGGUCAAGGUGUCUUUGAUUAUCUUUCAACCAAGGACACUAUAUACUAUGCAUGGUCCUCAUCUUUUUAUUAAGGCAAUAAUUGUACUUGAAUAUUCUUCUACACCAAGUGGAAAAUGUUACUAAUUAAGGAAGGGAUACACUACAGAAAAUGUCUUCUUUUAUUUCCGAUUUCACUUGAAACUGUUCCCAGGUAGAUAAAAAAGAUCCAAACCAAUGCCAUGUCACUACCAUGAUGUUAAUGACAAGCAGUACCUGGAUUUUUCCUUUGCCAAAGGUUUUGUGCCCCACAAGGAUAGCUCGACCAUUGUCAUGCAGUGCUCCAGCUAAAAUCUCACUUGCGCUUGCACUUCCCUCGUUGAUCUGUUUCAAGUAAUAAAGAUUUAAAGUAAUCACAUACAAGGCAUGAUAAUAACAUAGAAAAACCAUUUAUAAAACUAGAAUCUACACAAGAACAAACCAGAAAAUGUAAAAUUUAACUUGCAUGAUUCAUUAGAAAAGUUUCUUAUAUGGUUUAAAGUUAAUCAAAAUUGAAGCCAAACCAAGAACCUAUGGUUUAAUAUAAUUGAGUUUAUAGUAGUACAUCCAUUUAGGACAGGUUGGCUUAGUUAUAUUUUGUCACUUCUACUUUCAAGGGAAAGUUUUUUAAAUUUGCUUCAAAUGACCUUAAAAUCAAUGCCUAUAAAAUUUAAUGUAGGUGUAUAUAUGUCUAGCUGUAGUUCAUUUGUGAUGAGAAAUGCUGAAAAAUUUAUGCCAGAACAUCUAUGAACUUCAUUUCAACUCAGUAGCACUCAUAGGAUACUGAUAAAUAUUCAACUGCUUGCCAUGAAAGGAUUAUCGGUCAAUUCUUAC
rnacentral:misc_RNA from 1 species